GACGUGGCCAAGUGGAUUAAGGCAGUGGAUUUGUGAAUCCACC
rnacentral:tRNA from 16 species